GCAGUAGGCUCUGGUCCCCUCCCCCACCCUCUCGCUCUAUCGCCCCCUCCCCCUCUCUCUCCCCUCCCUCCCCUCUCUCUCUCUCUCUCUCUCCCUCCAUCCUCUCUCCUCUCUGUCCUCUCCUCUCCUCUCCAGUCGUCAGGAUGGAUCUCGUGAACAAGCUGGUUGCCCAAGGGCAGUUCCGUAUCCUGAAAGUUCCGUUGGGUUUCAUCAAAGCCUUACAAUGGUUUUUCUCCAUCUUUGCGUUCUCCACCUGUGGAAGUUAUUCUGGGAUGUUCAAGAUGGCGGUGGAGUGUAAGAACCGGACAGAGAGUGAUCUGAGCAUCGAGGUGAAGUUCGAGUACCCAUUCAGGAUGCACAUGGUGUACUUCGACGCCCCCACCUGCACGGGGGGAAACCCGGAGCGCCUCUUCCUCAUCGGAGACUACUCUUCCUCCGCUGAGUUCUUCGUCACUAUCGGAGUGUUCGCUUUCCUCUACUCCACCGCGGCGCUCUUCAUCUACGUCUUCGCCUACGAGAAGUACAAGGAGAACAACAAGGGCCCGCUAAUAGACCUGGGUGUGACGGGGGUCUUUGCCUUCAUGUGGCUGGUGAGUUCAGCCGCGUGGGCGAAGGGUCUCACCGACGUGAAGAGGGCGACGGACCCCGACAUGGUCCUCACCAUGAUCGCCGCCUGUAGCAACGAGGAGAACCACUGCAAGGAGGUCCACGACCCCGUCAUGUCCGGCCUCAACACCUCUGUGGCGUUUGGCUUCAUCAACCUCAUCCUGUGGGGGGGGAACCUGUGGUUCGUGUUCAAGGAGACGGGGAUCCUGGCCCCCUUCAUGCGGGCCCCUCCCCCGCAGGAGAAGGCCGCUGCACCGGAGGCCUUCGGCCAGCAGGGGGGCUACGAGCAGGACCCCUACGCCGGCACCCAGGGGGGCGGGUACCAGCCCGACUACAACCAGCAGGGCUACAACCAGGUUAGUACCGGCUUAUCUACCACUAACCAGGUAAACUACUAGUACCAGGUUAACUAUUACUAACAGCCCGACUACAACCAGCAGGGAUACAACCAGGUUAGUACCGGCUUAUCUACCACUAACCAGGUAAACUACUAGUACCAGGUUAACUAUUACUAACAGCCCGACCAGCAGGGCUACAACCAGACUCAGGAGGCGGACUUCGGUCCGGGCUAUGGCCAACCAGCAGCAGCUCCAACCUCCUUCUCCAAUCAGAUGUGAGCAGACAGGAAACUGGCAUUGGAGUGUACAAAAGGUUGGCGGUCUGCAGCCUACCCAUAAUGCAACGCUCCUUCAUAUCUGCCGGGAUGUUCAUCUGUUGCAUCGGGGUGGGGGGGUGGGGGGUGGGGGGAGGGGGGAGGGGGGGGGUUGUUGUUAAGUAUUGUGAGUGAUGUGAAUAUGAAAACAGAGUGAUAAUAAGUUGACAGCAGCCUCAUGACGACAUGGUGUCAGUGUUGUACAUAACAGAUAUGAUAUAGAUGAACGUGUCUUUAUUUAUAUGGACCUGUGCUUUCCCUUGCUCACUUUGUGCCAGCAUGUGUUACCAUAGCAACCAGAAACAUCCCACAACCCCCUCAGACAACUCCUAUGUACCACUUAGUUAGAUUCUCUACUACAUAGUACUACACAGUCUAAAGGUACCACGUAUCCGUGCUAGCAGAUUAGCUGGUACUACCUAGCACGGAUGGUGUCAUUUGCACCGUCUAGCACAUGCUGUGUAUACAUGCCGUCUGGUGUACACACUAGAUACCAUCCUGUCAAGUUAAGAGACUUGAGGUGUAAUGGGUGGUAAGGACUGUGAUCAUAUGAGUAAGGGUUGUUGAUGACUCUGUGAUAAUAUGUGUAAGGGUUGUUGAUGACUCUGUGAUAAUAUGUGUAAGGGUUGUUGAUGACUCUGUGAUAAUAUGAGUAAGGGUUGUUGAUGACUCUGUGAUAAUAUGAGUAAGGGUUGUUGAUGACUCUGUGAUAAUAUGAGUAAGGGUUGUUGAUGACUCUGUGAUAAUAUGAGUAAGGGUUGUUGAUGACUCUGUGAUAAUAUGAGUAAGGGUUGUUGAUGACUCUGUGAUAAUAUGAGUAAGGGGUGGUGUUGACUGUUUAUCAGAGCGGUAAUGACUCAGUGAUUAUAUUAGGAGGGGGUGAUGUUAAGUGAAUAGCAGGGAGAUGAAAGGAUUUGCGUUCUGUGUUGGGAUGGCAACAGCCUCACCUCCGCAGUAUGAUGGGAAAAGGGAUGACAUAAUAUGAUGGGCAGGUAUAUUAAUAUUGUAGAAGCCAGGGGAGAGGAUGAGUGUUCGGAUCAAUAAGCAGAGGACACGUAAUCUAUCAAUCAAAAAACAGUUCAUCUAUCGAUCAUAAAGCCUUUCCUUCAGUCUUAGAUAUUUAACCCCUGCAUGACCACCAGCCCCAUACAGCAGCAUGUGUGUGUGUGUGUGUGUGUGUGUGUGUGUGUGUGUGUGUGUGUGUGUGUGUGUGUGUGUGUGUGUGUGUGUGUGUGUGUGUGUGUGUGUGUGUGUGUGUGUGUGUGGGUGUGUGUGUGUGUGGGGGGGUGUUUGGGUGUGUGUGUGGGGGGUGUUUGGGUGUGUCUGGGAUCACAAAUGUGUGUGUGUAUGUGUGUGUGGGCUUGUGCAUGUGUGUGUGUUUGUGUGUCUUAUCGUUGUUCUGGUGUCGUGGUGACUCAAUGCCUCUGACUUGUGAUGUAACUUCCUCUGAUAUUCUACCCAGCAUCCGUAACCAAGGCGACCACAUCAGUGUUGACGACGGUUAUCAAUAUGUUUGUAUGAAUUGUGACUAUAGAAACCCUUUGACCCUGUUUCUUAACCCUUUGGAUCCCAUGUUUCAAUAAAGACAUUACCAUGGCAACCGCA